rnacentral:tRNA from 1 species
GGAGAAAUACCCAAGAGGCUGAAGGGGUCGGUCUCGAAAACCGAUAGGAGUUCAUAGCUCGCGAGGGUUCAAAUCCCUCUUUCUCCGCCA